GCUGGGCACAGUGGCGCAUGCCUGUAGUCCCAGCUACUGGGGAGGCUGAGGCUGAAGGAUCGCUUGAGCCCAGGAGUUCUGGGCUGUAGUUCGCUAUGCCGAUCAGGUGUCCGCACUAAGUUCGGCAUCAAUAUGGUGACCUCCCGGGAGCCAGGGAGCACCAGGUUGCCUAAGGAGAGGUGAACUGGCCCAGGUCGGAAACAGAGCAGGUCAAAACUCCCGUGCUGAUCAGUAGUGGGAUCAUGCCUGUGAAUAGCCACUGCACUCCAGCCUGGGCAACAUAGCAAGACCCUGUCUCU
rnacentral:SRP_RNA from 1 species